GACGAACGCUGGCGGCGUGCUUAACACAUGCAAGUCGAGCGGUAAGGCCCUUUCGGGGGUACACGAGCGGCGAACGGGUGAGUAACACGUGGGUGACCUGCCCUCAGCUCUGGGAUAAGCCUGGGAAACCGGGUCUAAUACCGGAUAUGACUCCAUGACGCAUGUUGUGGGGUGGAAAGCCUUGUGCGGCUGAGGAUGGGCCCGUGGCCUAUCAGCUUGUUGGUGGGGUGAUGGCCUACCAAGGCGACGACGGGUAGCCGGCCUGAGAGGGCGACCGGCCACACUGGGACUGAGACACGGCCCAGACUCCUACGGGAGGCAGCAGGUGGGGAAUCUUGCGCAAUGGGCGAAAGCCUGACGCAGCGACGCCGCGU
rnacentral:rRNA from 1 species